UGCUAUGUGAUUGCCACUGCAGUGAACAC
rnacentral:piRNA from 1 species